GACCUUUUUUUCCCCAUUAGGUGAGGAUAUACGGAGGUAUGUUGGGAAGCUAACAGAUGCUCAGAAAAGCAUGAUGGAUGAUAGGUUUAAAUGGAAGGUUCGAGAGAUGGAAAAAUGGAAGGAAGGGAAGCCUGGCGAAGCCAGAGCUGCUUUGAGACGUUCUGUGAGGGAAAUUGGAUUGGAUGUAGCAGAGCAAAGUGGAGAGGUUACACGAUCUGUC